rnacentral:lncRNA from 1 species
AUAAUUGUUUCUAUUUUCAUUGUGCAGGAAAAUGACAACAUAUUUAUACAAUCGCAAGGAAGCCCUAGAUGUUACGUAUAACAACUAUUUACAAUUUAUAUACAAAAAAAUAGCUUGCUUGAGGCUAGAGUGAAGUUUCUCAACCUAUAAUUUGCCAAUUGAGAUAAUGAUCCCUACGAGCUGCAUUUGAAUUGAAAAGCUAUGAAUUCUCACACAAAAUUUGUGAUCACGUGACAUAACACAUUAGUGUAUGCAUAUCGAAUAAAGACAAUUUCUUAAACGUAAUCAUACUCGAUACAAUGUUAUUUUUGUUCAUUACAAGUUAGUAUUAGUCAAAGCCAACAACACACAUUCUCAGUC